AAGGUUUUUCUUGUCAUCUUCCAGUGCUGCUGUCGCUGCUGGUUUUCACAUGCUUCCAUUACUGUGUAGUCCUGCUGGUUGCUCUGCUACGUUCUGCUGAGGUCCUGGCUAGGGAUGGCUGUACCUCGAAUUUGAUUUACUGGGAGGCCUGCA
rnacentral:lncRNA from 1 species